AUCCGCUGCUCUGUUAAGUGAUCACCACAUUCAUUGUUCUCGUUUCUAUUAUUUCUGAAAAAAAUCUUCAGGAUUCUGCUUGUGGGAGUGGAUGACAUUUUUACAGUGUUUACAGCUUUAUCUAUUCCAGAAUGUCAUAUAGCUGGUAUAAGGUUGUCUUCAUUCAUUUCCACAGUUUCUCUGGAGGUUCCAACAAGAUACGGUCUCCAUUGCCCAUUGCUCUGGACCCCAGCCAUCACCCAGUGCAGCAGUGAUGCCUUAUGACAAGUCAGCACCUGGUCUGAACUCUGCUCUCUUUGCACUGAAUUCUUUGAGUUUUUAUUCCAAGUUCAGUCAUUGGUUUUAGUAUUGGUUCCCAUCUGCUUGGCAUCCUUGGUGGAAUUGGGCUUCUUUUUUCAAUUUCUUUUUGCUGUCUUUUUGUUUUACUGUGUUGAGUAGUGCUAUCUAAAUGUGUUUAUCAUAAAAGAAGCAGCACAUGAUCAUAGGCCCAUGAGCCUGUUUUUCAAGCCAGCCAAACAGCACAUUUAGUUUGACAUUCACACUGGACCUCUGUCCAUUUUUAUAAACUUCGCUUUGGGUCAUCAAUAAAACUAAAUGAAGUUCUCUCUUG
rnacentral:lncRNA from 1 species